rnacentral:rRNA from 1 species
UACGAAGGGUGCAAACGUUGCUCGGAAUUAUUGGGCGUAAAGCGCACGUAGGCGGCUAUCUAAGUCGGAUGUGAAAUCCCUCGGCUUAACCAAGGAAGUGCAUCCGAAACUGCAGUGCUUGAGUACUUAAGAGGAUCGCGGAAUUCCCGGUGUAGAGGUGAAAUUCGUAGAUAUCGGGAGGAACACCAGUGGCGAAGGCGGCGAUCUGGGAAGAUACUGACGCUGAGGUGCGAAAGCGUGGGGAGCAAACAGG